UACGUAGGGAGCGAGCGUUGUCCGGAAUUACUGGGCGUAAAGGGUGCGUAGGCGGCUUGGCAAGUCAGAUGUGAAAUCCCCGGGCUUAACUCGGGGGGUGCAUUUGAAACUGCUGAGCUUGAGUGCAGGAGAGGAAAGCGGAAUUCCUAGUGUAGCGGUGAAAUGCGUAGAUAUUAGGAGGAACACCAGUGGCGAAGGCGGCUUUCUGGACUGUAACUGACGCUGAGGCACGAAAGCGUGGGGAGCAAACAGG
rnacentral:rRNA from 1 species